CUGUUAUCAACACCUAAUAUUAUGCUUCAUACACUCACAACAAAUCUUUGUUGAAUAAAUAAAUGUUCCAAAUUAUGCAAAAUAAACUAAGCUGGUAAAGAGAGGAAGAGAAUUUUCAGGAAGAAGAAGCACUUAUAUCAACAUUUCUGAAGAUUAUGGAUACAAAUAUCUGUAAAUAGAUUCAGGAGGCAAGAGUAGUAAAAUGUGGACCUAAGUAUUAGUAAAGUGCUCAUUAAUGAAGGAUGUUUUAUUCUAUGCUAAGGAGUUUGGAUUUUAUUCUAAAGUCAAUGAGAACUAAAUGACAGAUUUUAUAAUUUGGUAAGUUACAUGUUUUAGAUACUAAGGUACUAAAUAUAUUAGAAUUAGCAAGAUUUGAAACUUUAAUCAGUGUUAGAAAUCAAAAGACAAUGGAUGGUAAAAGAAAGUAGGAAAUCUAAGAUUAUACAUGCCCUUCUAAAUUAGAAUCUUGAUGUCUUUUUUUUUUAGAGAUUUAAGCAUUGCAAAUUGAUUCCAAUCAUAAAACAAGUAUAUAUAUAUACACACACAUAUAUGAAUUUUAAAAUUACAUAUAUAAAUAUAUACAAAAAUAUACAUAUAUGAAUUUAUUUAAAAAAUUUGACCCUGUCUACUCAUUAUCUACAGGUAUAUUUCUCUCUUACCAUUUAUAGUCGAUUUCUUGAAAGAUAUGUACAUGUCGUUACCUUGCGUUCACCCCGCAACUGACUUCUGUAUAAUUUUCUACUCACCACCAGUGAAAAUGCACCUGUCAAAGGUAUUAACAUCACCCUUAUAACAAAUCUAAUUACCAUUUUUAGCCCUCACCUUAUUUAUCAUUUGAGUUCUUUUAAAAUUCUCAGAAGUUCCACCAUUGGAAAUAAAAAUGAAAAAGAUUUUGCAAAGGCAAUUAAUAAUGAGUCAUCAGAGAGAAUGAAGCCACCAAGGAAAUCUAAAGUUUCAAAAACUUGGGAAAGGUCGACAAUGUCAGACAUCCAAGGGAUGACUGAAAAUAUUCUGCUAAUAUGCCAUUGGUGAACAAUACAGAGAUUCCAAAAUGAAAGAAAAGUCAUCCUCUCUGGAAAUGUGAAGCAUAACUAAAGUUUGACCAACAAGUUGUAGAAGCUGGAUUAUAGUGGCAUAAUCUCGGUUCACUGCAACCUCUGCCUCCGGGGUUUCAGCGAUUCUCCCACGUCAGCCCGCUUAGGAGCUGGGACUACAGGCACGUGCCAACGUGCCCAGCAAAUUUUUUGUAUUUUUAGUAGAGACGGGGUUUCACCAUGUUGUCCUGGCUGAUCUCGAACUCCUGACCUUAAAUGAUCCACCCGCCUCGACCUUCCAAAGUUCUGGGACUACAGGUAUGAACCACUGUGGCCUGCAAAAUUAAAAAUUUUAACUUGAAAACUGGAAAACUACAACUCAGAAGCUAUAAUCAUAUAAAUUGUUCAUUGGUAGUUUAUUGGCACAUACCAAUAUAACCUAAAGUAUUUUGUCACCUGAAUGUAAAACAUGGUGAGAUAUAUAUCCUCCUUUAGCUACUUUCUUUACUUUUCUCCUUGAAAUGUAACAUUUUAUAGAUAAUACUCAGGGCAAUCUUUAAAAAUAUUGUCUGUGAUGUACCCUGUGAUUUAAGCCAAGUGAAAAAAAAUAUUAUAAAAUUUGUAUUGUAGAAAUACGACUCACAACAUGUAGAAAUGUUAGUAAAGUUUGUUUAACAAGUUUUAUUAAAAGGAAUGCAACUGUGCUUACAAGCCUAUGGUAGUUCCCCAUGUUCCUGAAGUUAAGGAGAUGCCAGAUCCUGAGAAAUAAGAAUAAUAAAAUGUUGAGUUUGCUCUAGAAAGAAGCAUGAAUUUUAAUACCAUGCAUGAACAAAAAGUAAGUUAUCAGAAAUGGGUUACAACACUAUGGGGUGAUCAGAAUAGGCCUCAUCAAGAUGAUGACAUUUGAGCAAAGACUAGAUAAUAAAGGAAUUAUCAAGAAGAUAUCUUGAGGGAAAAUAUUAUGGGCUGAGUGAUAAUAUGUGCAAAUGUUACAUUAUAGUGUGAGGAAGUCAUAAAAACAUGGUUAUUGGUGAUAUUAUACAUAAAAUAAUAAAGCCAUUGCAAACUCAGAUAAAUCAGUUCUCGAACGAGAGACGAACACACUUGUUUCUUACAGAAUUUACAGUGAGAAAAUGCAUCUUUUAAGAAUAAACAUUCUGGUACACUAUUUCAUGUUUAUUUAGAGUGCAGAGUAUUUCACUUAUAUUGCUUAGUAACUCCAAGAUAAGAAAUUAAUUUUUUUUUUACAAUUUCACAGGCAGACUGACUUUUGUUAUGGUAGAAUAAGGAGAUAAUCUCAAUAAGCAAUUAUAUAACUCGGGGAAAAUAUUAAAAAAAAAACACCCACAUGUUGCAGGCAUUUGGGUAUCAACCAAAUGCAUACAACACAUUGAGAAGCAUUUAUUCACAAUAAUCCUUGGUGUUCUUAUCCAGACUAUUACUAUCACCCACUGAUUGGUCAGCAGUUCUAUAAGUCAGGAAAUACCACAAAAGCCAAGCCCUCUACUCGCCAAGGAAAUCACUUGAUUAGGAACAGAAAACAAAACAGUCAUGCCCAGCAGUGAUGUCAGUGAAAUUAUCAAUUUCAGUUUCAAGUGAAGAGAGAAAGUUUAGUGGACCAGCCAUUUUGAUCUUGUCUCCUAGCUGGGAGGAGCAAUGGGACACUAAAAUAGCCAACAUUUUCAAAAGGAGAUUUUAUAGAUGAGGCAGAGUGGCUUGAUAAUUUAUCUACAGUUCCUAGACUGACUUGAUUGCUGCAACUAGUGAAGACCAAAACAGAAGACUCAAGCUGUUAAGCUAUGUACAUAUUAUUUUGGCUGUCAAGAAGACGGUGAUCAUGCAUAGAGGAGAGAUAAAGGGUCCAGCAAAAAGUAAAAGUUAGAGUAAGUCUGAAUUCUUUUUCUUAAUUUUGGAAGUAUUCCACAACCCACACACACAUCUGUCAACAGGGGUUGGAAGCCUUCUUGGCAGAUGUUUGGACAUAAUAUUACACACCUGUAGUCCCUGCUCCUUGUAAGGCUAAGGUGGGAAGAUCAUUUUAGCCUGGAGGCAGAGGUGGCAGUGAUCCAAGAUUGCACCACUGCACUCCAGCCUGGGUGACAGAGUGAGGUCCUGUUAAAAAAAAAAAAAAAUGAAAAGUAAAAGCAGAAACAUCAGCAGUCCCAUACUAGAAUGGAGUCAGAUUGUCCAGAUUUAGCUUAACAAAGUAACAACUUACUAAAUAAACAAUGAAACAAAACAAAAAUAGCAACAGCUUUUGGGAGGAAAAUUGAGAAUCUGGAAUUCCUGCAAUAUAAUAUCGAAAAUGUCUAGAUUUAUUUUUCUAAUUAAGAGACAUAAAAAGAGAAAAGUUAGUCACGGAGUGGAAGGGGCAGUCUGUCAAGAAAACUGAGUGUACUCAGAUGUUGGAUUUGUUAUAGUAUACAGCAAAUUCAAAGCAGCUAUUAAAAUACUUUCAGUAUUAAAGAAAGUAUAAUGAUAAUGAAUCAAAAAAUAGAAAAUAUCAACAAAUGAAUAGUAAUUACAAUAACCAAAUAGUUAUCCUGAAAUUAAAAAAUUGAAUAACUGAAAUAAAGUUCAGUAGAGUAACUCAACAGCAUAGGUCAGGUUACAAAUGAAAAAUUAAGCAAAAUAUAAAUGUAGAUUAAUAGAAGCUGUCCAACAAGAGAAGAAAUGAUAAAACUGUACAUAAGAGCAACAUCAAGCAUACUGAUGUAUAUGUAAUGUGUGUGCCGAGAGAAGAAAAAGAUAGGAGCAGAAAAAAUAUUUAAACAUAUAGUUACCUAAAGCUUCUUAAAUUUGAUGGGAAAAAAUUAUCCACAUUUCCAAGUUUAAUGAAUUACAAAUAGGACAAGCAGAAAGUGAGCCAUACCUGAACAUAUCAUAGUCAAACUGUUGAAAGCACAGACAAGGAGACCACCUUGAAAUCAGUAAGACAAAAUGACUUAUCAUGUAAAGAGGGAGAUCUAUACAAUUAACACUGAUUUUUGAUAUAAAGCAAAGGAAGUUACAACGUAUUGAAAUAGCAUAUGUUUCAAACACUGAAAGAAACAAGCAAACGAACAAGAAACAAAAGAACCAUAACAAAGAAUCCUAUAUCCAGCAAAACUACUCUUCAAAAAAAAACAUGGUAAAAUGAAGACAUUCCUAGAAACAUGAUGAUCAAGAAAAUUCAUUACUACCAUAUAUGUCUUCGAAUAAAUUCUUAAGAGAGUUCUUCAAACAGAAAGGAAAUAAUACUGGCAGCUAAUUCAAACCCAUAGGAAGAAACCAAAACAACUAGUCUUGGUAAAUUUAAAAUUAUUUCUAAAUAUAUUUUCUCUUAGCUUAUUUCAAUGUUACAAGGUUAUAUAAAGCAAUUACAGCAUUGAGUUGUCAUGUCUAUUGCACACAGAGAUGUAGUGCAUAUGAAAAUCAUAAAAGAUAAUAGGGGAGAUAAAAUGCAGCUAUACUGGAAAAAAUUUUUCUCUAAUUUAUAAAAAUUAGCUAAGUAUUGAUCAAUAUGUAUCUAUCUAUCCAUCUAUGUAUAUAUCUAUAAAAACACACAGGCAUACUACACACACAAAGAAAAAGUAAUAUUCAAUACUAUAGUCACAUUUAAAAUUUAAUUUCAGAUACAUUAAAGAUACACAAAAUAAUAACUUUAAACUAUCAGUUAAAACAUUUUUUAUAUAUAAUAUAGGCAAAAUUAUAAUUAAAAUUUUAAUUAGGCUGGGCGCAGUGGCUCACGCCUUUAAUCCCAGCCUUUGGGAGGCCGAGGCGGGUGGAUCACGAGGUCAGGAGAUCAAGACCAUCGUGGCUAACACGGUGAAACCCCAUCUCUACUAAAAAUACAAAAAAUUGGCCUGGCGUGGUGGCGGGAGCCUGUAGUCCCAGCUACUUGGGAGGCUGAGGCAGGAGAAUGGCGUGAACCCCAGAGGCAGAGCUUGCAGUGAGCCGAGAUCAUGCCACUGCACUCCAGCCUGGGUGACAGAGCCAGACUCCAUCUCAAAAAAAAAAAAAAACAAUUUAAUUAAACACACUUUUUCUAAUUCACCCUAACGGACAUAAAUUUUUCUAGGUGUUCAGCAUCCAAUAAUGAAUAUUACUGACAAAUAUCCCUCUCUCAUGUGGCUUACAGUCUCAUGUGUUUAACAGUAUACACACAACCAAAUGAAUGAAGUGUAAAAUUUUACACAGUACAAUGAAAAUCUUAAAUGAUAUGAGAUACUACAAACAAAAUAGAAAGACAAAUUAUACGCUGAAACAAGGUAUAUAGUACAUACAUAACAACAGAGGCUUUUACUCCAGAGUAUGUAAGACGAGUUCAUAUAUCAGCGAGAACAAUAAGAUGUGCCAAGAUAAAUAUGAAAAAGUCUGUAAAGAGAAAAUUUGAAUGACCAAUAAGCAAAUGAAAGAUGCUCAAAUUAAUCAUUUAUUUAAGAAAACUUACUUAAAACAAUACUGAAAAAUAAUUUACACUCAUAGGAUUAAACAGUUUUAAAAGUUGGCUAAUAUGAAGCUGUCAAAAGUUUAAAGGAUGAAAAAUGGGGCAAAAGAACACUAUGCUACUUUCUGAUAGUGUAAGUUCAGGAGAAAUUGGCAAUAUCAAAAAAGUUAAAAAUGGCUGGAAAUUAUGCUCAACAAUUUACUCCAAAAAAAAAAAUGCUUGUAUUUGUACAGAAGGAAAUAUGGCCACUAGUGUUUAUGGCAGUAAUUGUGUGUAAUUAUGAAAACACUAAAACAUCCUAAAAUUUCGAUGUGGUGGUAGAAGAAAAAUCAAUGUAGCUCAUUAGUAUUAGGGAAUAUUACACAGUAAUUGAUUAACAGAUUAAUGCACUAGAGCUACAUAAUUCUCAAAACCAUCCUGUUAAAGGAGAAAGGAAGAGUGCUUUAUGAUGGUAAAGAAAUGUCAUUAUUUGACUUUUAUAAAUACACAAAACCAAUCCCUUACAUUAUUUAUGUGUGGAUAUGUGAGCAGUUAUAUAUAAGCACAAAACUGGAUACAAAAAUAUCUGAAUGUUCACACUAACUUGAGAUUAGUGGAAAAAAAAGAAGUAACCUGUGGAACUUGGCCAUAAACUGGGCUUUUCACAAAAAAAUAGCUAUGAAUCUGAUAAGUGAAAUUGCUAACAUCUUCCAAAAUUAGUGUUCAAAACAUUGUGUUUUUUGUAUUAUUUUUGUAGUUAUGUGUUUUUAAAUAAUUGUAUAAUUUUAUUGCUAAAAUAUAAAAUUCUGUUACC
rnacentral:lncRNA from 1 species